GUCUACCUCCAUACCACCCUGAACACGCCCGAUCUCAUCUGAUCUCAGAAACUCAGCAAGGUCGGGCCCGGUCAGUACGUGGAUGGGAGACCUGGCAAUGCCAGAUCCUGUAGGCU
rnacentral:rRNA from 1 species